rnacentral:rRNA from 1 species
GGGUUGUGAGGUUAAGCGACUAAGCGUACACGGUGGAUGCCCUGGCAGUCAGAGGCGAUGAAGGACGUGCUAAUCUGCGAAAAGCGUCGGUAAGGUGAUAUGAACCGUUAUAACCGGCGAUGUCCGAAUGGGGAAACCCAGUGCAAUUCGUUGCACUAUCGUUAACUGAAUACAUAGGUUAACGAGGCGAACCGGGGGAACUGAAACAUCUAAGUACCCCGAGGAAAAGAAAUCAACCGAGAUUCCCCCAGUAGCGGCGAGCGAACGGGGAGCAGCCCAGAGUCUGAAUCAGCUUGUGUGUUAGUGGAACGGUCUGGAAAGUCCGACGGUACAGGGUGAUAGUCCCGUACACCAAAAUGCACAGGCUGUGAACUCGAAGAGUAGGGCGGGACACGUGGUAUCCUGUCUGAAUAUGGGGGGACCAUCCUCCAAGGCUAAAUACUCCUGACUGACCGAUAGUGAACCAGUACCGUGAGGGAAAGGCGAAAAGAACCCCGGCGAGGGGAGUGAAAAAGAACCUGAAACCGUGUACGUACAAGCAGUGGGAGCACCUUCGGGUGUGACUGCGUACCUUUUGUAUAAUGGGUCAGCGACUUAUAUUCUGUAGCAAGGUUAACCGUAUAGGGGAGCCGCAGGGAAACCGAGUCUUAACUGGGCGUUAAGUUGCAGGGUAUAGACCCGAAACCCGGUGAUCUAGCCAUGGGCAGGUUGAAGGUUGGGUAACACUAACUGGAGGACCGAACCGACUAAUGUUGAAAAAUUAGCGGAUGACUUGUGGCUGGGGGUGAAAGGCCAAUCAAACCGGGAGAUAGCUGGUUCUCCCCGAAAGCUAUUUAGGUAGCGCCUCGUGAAUUCAUCUUCGGGGGUAGAGCACUGUUUCGGCUAGGGGGUCAUCCCGACUUACCAACCCGAUGCAAACUACGAAUACCGAAGAAUGUUAUCACGGGAGACACACGGCGGGUGCUAACGUCCGUCGUGAAGAGGGAAACAACCCAGACCGCCAGCUAAGGUCCCAAAGUCAUGGUUAAGUGGGAAACGAUGUGGGAAGGCACAGACAGCCAGGAUGUUGGCUUAGAAGCAGCCAUCAUUUAAAGAAAGCGUAAUAGCUCACUGGUCGAGUCGGCCUGCGCGGAAGAUGUAACGGGGCUAAACCAUGCACCGAAGCUGCGGCAGCGACACUAUGUGUUGUUGGGUAGGGGAGCGUUCUGUAAGCCUGCGAAGGUGACCUGUGAGGGUUGCUGGAGGUAUCAGAAGUGCGAAUGCUGACAUAAGUAACGAUAAAGCGGGUGAAAAGCCCGCUCGCCGGAAGACCAAGGGUUCCUGUCCAACGUUAAUCGGGGCAGGGUGAGUCGACCCCUAAGGCGAGGCCGAAAGGCGUAGUCGAUGGGAAACAGGUUAAUAUUCCUGUACUUGGUGUUACUGCGAAGGGGGGACGGAGAAGGCUAUGUUAGCCGGGCGACGGUUGUCCCGGUUUAAGCAUGUAGGCUGAUUAUCCAGGCAAAUCCGGAUAAUCAAGGCUGAGGUGUGAUGACGAGGCACUACGGUGCUGAAGUAACAAAUGCCCUGCUUCCAGGAAAAGCCUCUAAGCAUCAGGUAACAUCAAAUCGUACCCCAAACCGACACAGGUGGUCAGGUAGAGAAUACCAAGGCGCUUGAGAGAACUCGGGUGAAGGAACUAGGCAAAAUGGUGCCGUAACUUCGGGAGAAGGCACGCUGGUGUGUAGGUGAAGUCCCUGCGGAUGGAGCUGAGACCAGUCGAAGAUACCAGCUGGCUGCAACUGUUUAUUAAAAACACAGCACUGUGCAAACACGAAAGUGGACGUAUACGGUGUGACGCCUGCCCGGUGCCGGAAGGUUAAUUGAUGGGGUUAUCCGUAAGGAGAAGCUCUUGAUCGAAGCCCCGGUAAACGGCGGCCGUAACUAUAACGGUCCUAAGGUAGCGAAAUUCCUUGUCGGGUAAGUUCCGACCUGCACGAAUGGCGUAAUGAUGGCCAGGCUGUCUCCACCCGAGACUCAGUGAAAUUGAACUCGCUGUGAAGAUGCAGUGUACCCGCGGCAAGACGGAAAGACCCCGUGAACCUUUACUAUAGCUUGACACUGAACAUUGAGCCUUGAUGUGUAGGAUAGGUGGGAGGCUUUGAAGCGUGGACGCCAGUCUGCGUGGAGCCAACCUUGAAAUACCACCCUUUAAUGUUUGAUGUUCUAACGUUGGCCCCUUACCGGGGUUGCGGACAGUGUCUGGUGGGUAGUUUGACUGGGGCGGUCUCCUCCCAAAGCGUAACGGAGGAGCACGAAGGUUAGCUAAUCCUGGUCGGACAUCAGGAGGUUAGUGCAAUGGCAUAAGCUAGCUUGACUGCGAGCGUGACGGCGCGAGCAGGUGCGAAAGCAGGUCAUAGUGAUCCGGUGGUUCUGAAUGGAAGGGCCAUCGCUCAACGGAUAAAAGGUACUCCGGGGAUAACAGGCUGAUACCGCCCAAGAGUUCAUAUCGACGGCGGUGUUUGGCACCUCGAUGUCGGCUCAUCACAUCCUGGGGCUGAAGUAGGUCCCAAGGGUAUGGCUGUUCGCCAUUUAAAGUGGUACGCGAGCUGGGUUUAGAACGUCGUGAGACAGUUCGGUCCCUAUCUGCCGUGGGCGCUGGAGAAUUGAGGGGGGCUGCUCCUAGUACGAGAGGACCGGAGUGGACGCAUCACUGGUGUUCGGGUUGUCAUGCCAAUGGCACUGCCCGGUAGCUAAAUGCGGAAGAGAUAAGUGCUGAAAGCAUCUAAGCACGAAACUUGCCCCGAGAUGAGUUCUCCCUGAGACUUUAAGUCUCCUGAAGGAACGUUAAAGACGAUGACGUUGAUAGGCCGGGUGUGUAAGCGCAGCGAUGCGUUGAGCUAACCGGUACUAAUGAACCGUGAGGCUUAACCUUACAACGCCGAAG